UACGUAGGGCGCAAGCGUUAUCCGGAAUUAUUGGGCGUAAAGAGCUCGUAGGCGGUUUGUCGCGUCUGCCGUGAAAGUCCGGGGCUCAACUCCGGAUCUGCGGUGGGUACGGGCAGACUAGAGUGAUGUAGGGGAGACUGGAAUUCCUGGUGUAGCGGUGAAAUGCGCAGAUAUCAGGAGGAACACCGAUGGCGAAGGCAGGUCUCCUGGGCAUUAACUGACGCUGAGGAGCGAAAGCAUGGGGAGCGAACAG
rnacentral:rRNA from 1 species